rnacentral:rRNA from 1 species
UAACCUGGUUGAUCCUGCCAGUAGUCAUAUGCUUCGUUCAAGGGCUAAGCCAUGCAUGUCUCAGCGCACUCGGCUUGACAGAGGGUCUGUGAAUGGCUCCUUACAUCAGCAGUCAUCUACGUGAUAGCGUGUGGUUGGCACCCACUCCCUGCCAGGUGCCCAGUUGGACAUCCUCCAAAACCUUGUGGCUAAUACACGGAAGCUCCAGUCGGCCACGGUGCGGGUCCCGGCGCUCCGCCGCCGGGGCCCUGUGGUGGAUCGCGCCCAGCCGAUAGGAAGACCAGCGCCCUCUCCACGGGGCAGCGUGCUCAUUGGGAUGAUUCAGGCUGGUCCCCCCCUGCGGGGGACGGUUCGCACUGGCAGAGUGGUGGCCUCCGUGCCACGCAAGUCGCUUGAUCACACGAACUUCUGACCUAUCAGCUGUGAUUGUGGUGUAGUGGACCACAAUGGCGAUGACGGGUGACGGAGAAUCAGGGUUCGAUUCCGGAGAGGGAGCCUGAGAGACGGCUACCACUACCAAGGUGGGCAGCAGGCGCGCAAAUUGCCCAAUAUCAAAACACCUGGUGAGGCAGCGACGAACCGCAGCAAUCCCGCCAGCCUUCAUGGUCUGGUGGGACUUGGAAUGGAUGCAAUCCAAACACAGUGAUGAGUAUCAACUGGAGGGCAAGUCUGGUGCCAGCAGCUGCGGUAAUUCCAGCUCCAAGGGCGUAUACUAUCAUUGCUGCUGUUAAAACACCUGUAGUCUGCCACUGGGUCGCAGGUCUGCUGGGCGGCCGGUCCGGUCGUGCGUGUCCCGUGCCGUGGGCGGUCGGGGGUCGUCCCUUCGCGGGGCGCGCCCCCCCCUCGCCCCGUGCGUCGGGCGCGUCGGCCGGUCCCGGACACAACCCCCAGCGGUAUGCUCCUGCGCCCGCUUUCUUCGCAUGGAUGGUGAGACUUGCUCCUGCUGAAAGCCCCCUUCACUGGGGGCCCAGGCUGUUGUGCCCCGAACGCAGGCGUGGGCGAUUCCCCGGGCGGCGGCCUCCGUGCCCCGCAGAGCGACCGGGGGCCCACCACCGGAGCCCACCACCGCUGACACCGUGGAAAACUCAGUGUGCCCCAAGCGUCCUCCUAUACGGCUGGAUGCCUGUCCAUGGAAUGUCGUAGCACCGACCGAGCGUCACUUGGCAUUGGAGUUGUGCUGGCCUUGGAGCCCGCCCAGGGCAAUGUGGCCCAUGUUCCUUUCCGUUGAUUCUCCCGGGGCCUGUGCGGCCCCCGUCGGCCGGGGUGUCCGUGGUCUGACCACGGCCCCCGCCGCGGGUGCGCCCACACCCCAGCGUGGUUGAUGGCUUCAAAGCAUGGGUCGAUCGCAUCCGAUGGGAUCGCUCAGGGUGAAAGAUAUUGGAGCGCCAGAGGUGAAAUUCUUAGACCGCUGCAAGAUCCACGGCAGCGAAGGCGUUCUGCAGGGGCGUGUUCGUCGAUCAAGGAUGAGAGUCCGGGGAACAAAGAUGAUCAGACACCGUCGUAGUCCGGCACCGUAAACUGUGCCAGCCCGGCACCGGCAGGGAAAGUCCAAAGACCCUGCCGGGGCCACGCCCCCUACACCGAGAAAUCCACAGCCUGUGGGUUCAGGGGGGAGUACGGUCGCAAGGCUGAAACUUAAAGGAAUUGACGGAAUGGCACCACAAGGCGUGGAGUAUGCGGCUUAAUUUGACUCAACACGGGGAAUGUUACCAGGUCCGGACGCAGCUGGGAUGGACAGAUUGAGAGCUCUUUCUUGAUCCUGUGGACGGUGGUGCAUGGCCGCUCCUGAUUGGUGGAGUGAUUUGUCUGGUUGAUUCCGAUAACGAGUGAGAUAUCUGCCUCCCACUAGCCUCGGGUUCGCAUUUGGUAGGGCCUGGACCGCUGGGUGUUCACGGUCCCGUGCGCGUCGCCUCCGUCUCGCGGUCCCUCGUGGGCCGUGUGCGUGGGGUGGCGCCGCGGGCGCCGGCCCCGGUCCCCCGAGAACCCCGAGUUUCCGCUUCUCUGAGGUGCUGUGUACGCUGCCAAAGUGCACGCAUGCUAGAGCCAACAGCAGGUCUGUGAUGCUCCCAGAUGUCCUGGGCCGCACGCGCACUACAUUGGCACGGUGAGGGAGUCUUGCGCCUGCUCUGUCAGGCCCUGGCCGGAGGUGGCUGGGAAACCCUGCAAGACCGUGCCGUACUGGGGAUAGAUGAUUGCAACUGUCUGCCUUGAACGUGGAAUGCCUAGUAGGCGUUGGUCAUCAGCCAACACCGAUUGUGUCCCUGCCAUUUGUACACACCGCCCGUCGUUGCUACCGAUGAUGGCUGGAUAGAAACAUCAGGAGGUCAGGCCACGACGCCCCCGCUGUCGGGCGCCCCCUCGGGGGUGUCCCGCGCGUGGGGCCGACGGUCCCCAGCCGAAAUUGGCUGAUGUCCCGCUGUUAGAGGAAGCAAAAGUCGUAACAAGGUUGCUGUAGGUGAACCUGCAGAAGGAUCAAA